ensembl:lncRNA
GAACCCAAGUUCCUCAGUCAGUUUCUGGAAGUGAUAUUGUUGGGGGUUAAAGCAGUGGAGAGGUUGUCACUGCCUCCACCACAUCUUUCCAGCACCCAUUCCUCUCCACCCUAAAUUAAACAAUUUUGGUAUUUCCUGACUAGAAGGCCAUCUACCUCUAUGUUCAUUUUCUCAGCUUUGCACAUUUCUACCAUCUUUGUGAGCCAAGCCUACCUCCCCAACCCCCACCAUCUCCAGCUCACUCUUUGGAGAGAGUCCUCAAGAGCCAGAAACAAGGAGAAAGAGAGUCUAAAGAGAGAGAAAGAAUAAAUUGCUUUAGAGAUAAAUAAUUUAUUGCAUGCAAAUGGAACAGCCCUCCAGCUCUUGGAAAGCUUCCAGAGUAGCCCCCAGUGCCGAGCAAGACGUGUGCUCCUGACUCACGCCCAUUGGAUUCUUCCUCCGCGGCUGUUUUCAGCGAAGUGAACCCGACAUUCUAGUCAGGGGAGGGCAGGAUGCUCAGGACCCACUGCCAGAGAGCCACCCCUAGCCUCUGGGACAGCAGUGAUCUCCAGGAGCACAGCGCUGGACUCUAGCCCGCAUUCUGUCUCCGGGUACGAGGACUACACAGAUGAAUAAAACACUGCUGCCUUCAGGGACCUCAGUCUAGUGGGAGUGGCCAACAGGUAAACAGAUAAUCACAUGCAGGUGGCUUGGAAGAACAUGGGAAGACACAGGACUCAAUCUUGGUGGCACAGGGAUGGCUCUCCAGAAGUGACAUCUACAAGGAGAAGUAAAGGAUGAACCGUGGUUAGCUAGGCCAGAGGCCGGCAAUGUGUGGGGACCUGCAGCAUUUGCUCUCUGGGGGCAGGGAGCAGGAUAGGAACACCCAGGAGUGGCCAAAGCCAGUGCUUCCUAUGAUCUUCGUCUUUGAGGGCCUUCAGUUCUCUCUCUGCUCCACCUCGUUGUCCUUUCCCUCUCCAGGAGAAAGCAGGAAGCCGGAAACUGUCACGCUU